rnacentral:rRNA from 1 species
CCUACGGGAGGCAGCAGUGAGGAAUAUUUCGCAAUGGGGGCAACCCUGACGCAGCGACGCCGCGUGGAUGAUGAAGGCCCUUGGGUGGUAAAAUCCUGUCAGAUGGAAAGAAAUGCCACAGGGCUAAUAUCUUUGUGGUUUGACGGUACCAUCAAAGGAAGCACCG